AGUGAACGCUGGCGGUAGGCCUAACACAUGCAAGUCGAACGGCAGCACAGUAAGAGCUUGCUCUUACGGGUGGCGAGUGGCGGACGGGUGAGGAAUACAUCGGAAUCUACUUUUUCGUGGGGGAUAACGUAGGGAAACUUACGCUAAUACCGCAUACGACCCACGGGUGAAAGCAGGGGAUCUUCGGACCUUGCGCGAUUGAAUGAGCCGAUGUCGGAUUAGCUAGUUGGCGGGGUAAAGGCCCACCAAGGCGACGAUCCGUAGCUGGUCUGAGAGGGUGAUCAGCCACACUGGAACUGAGACACGGUCCAGACUCCUACGGGAGGCAGCAGUGGGGAAUAUUGGACAAUGGGCGCAAGCCUGAUCCAGCCAUACCGCGUGGGUGAAGAAGGCCUUCGGGUUGUAAAGCCCUUUUGUUGGGAAAGAAAAGCAGCAGGUUAAUACCCCGCUGUUCUGACGGUACCCAAAGAAUAAGCACCGGCUAACUUCGUG
rnacentral:rRNA from 1 species